rnacentral:rRNA from 1 species
UACGUAGGGUGCGAGCGUUAAUCGGAAUUACUGGGCGUAAAGCGUGCGCAGGCGGUUCGCCAAGUCAGGUGUGAAAUCCCCGGGCUUAACCUGGGAAUUGCGCUUGAAACUAGCGGGCUUGAGUGUGGCAGAGGGGGGUGGAAUUCCACGUGUAGCAGUGAAAUGCGUAGAGAUGUGGAGGAAUACCGAUGGCGAAGGCAGCCCCCUGGGAUAACACUGACGCUCAUGCACGAAAGCGUGGGGAGCAAACAGG